CAUAUCAUAGGGUUGAAUUAAUUUGUGGGUUGUCAUUUUGUGAUUGCUUCAUGCCGUGCAUUGAGUUCAGUUCAGGAGUUUCCUAAUAAGCAAAUUACUCAGAUAGAGAGCUCCAAUCUCAGCCUCUUUUACUUAUUCAGGACUAUUGACUUUUGAGUGAGCUCUCUCGGUAGGUGCAUAUCUUCUCCUUGGCCCUUGCAAGAAUAAAAACAAAAGGCUUUUACUUUCUCUGUGAGUAAAUUUCAGAAUUUUGGGGGUACAAUUCUGAGUUUUAUUUAAAGCUUUCUGUGUAGGUGAGAGAUGAGUAUCUAUGGAAAACUUGCAAAGAGGGCUGUGGAGACUGAUAUGCCCGUCAUGGUUCAGGUAUUGAGUCCAAAACUCCCACUGGGUUUUUGUUAAAGUUUCUGAAUUUAAUAUGUUUUGAGAUUCAAUUGUGGUUUGAGUUUUAAUAAGUUUGCCAAGGAUAAUGGUUCAAUCAUAGUUUUUACGAUUCUUCAUAUGCCAUAUAUAAGUCAGCUGAUAAUCCAUGCUCAGGAAUAAAUAAAUAAAUAAAACGUUAUGUUAUGUUAUGUCAUAUGGUUCGAGGAUAUGGCGUGCAGGACAACACAAUGUGAUUGAGGUGUUUUGUUCUUAUUUUGACACUCUCUCUGCACAAACUGGUAUGCUGGAAAUUCCAUUGUGAAUUUGCUGGAGCUACAGAUGCAGGUCUGCAAUCAUAAUUUGUUACUGCAACGCUCUUGGUUCUUUUUUUUUCUGAAAACUUUAUCUUUACCGUUCUUGAUAAUAAAUUAGUUAAAAGAUAGUGUUUUACAGAGAGUUGUACAUUUUGAUGUGCUUUGGCCUAUCAUCUCUUCUUUUUUGAAAGCUCAUUUCCAAUGUUUUAUUUAUGACUAUCCAAUAUCUAACAAUUUUGCUUCUGUAUGGACAUUCAAGGAUGCAAUUGAGACCUCUUAUGAUUAUGAUGCUCCUCUUGAGGAGUAUGGACAUCUGUGUCAAAUAAAAUGGGGGCAUUUAAAAGAGCUUCAUAAGGUUUUGGAAUACAUGGAAUAUACUCUUAUCUAUGGCAACAUUACCACCACAGAAUUGGAUAACCCUGUCUCGAUAAGUAGAUAAAUCGUAAUCACCAAAAUUCUAAACUAACACAAUUUAACUAUUGUUGUUACCUUUUUUUUUUCUUCAGAUGACUGUGUUUGCAACAAAUGAUUCAAUUAAGUAGCUGCUUUUGGGGGAAUGCAAAUAACAAUCAGAUGCUACAAUCACUUUUCAAGGAAACACACAUUUUUGCUUAGUCUGUGCUUUUAAGUUUUGUCAUUCAUUUAUGCAAACUGAUUCAAUAUAUGUCAAAACAUGCAUAGCAGGUGUUCAAACAUUUGCUCACCUUCUUAUCUCCUAGAGAGCUUAAAUAGAUUAGUUAGUUAAGAAGCCACUGGGUACAUAAUACAUUUUCCACAAUUUUUUUUCACUUUUGAUCAAUGAUGAUUUUGCAUUUUGUCUCAAAUUUCAUUGUAUUCCUAUAGGAUAAACGAACACCUUCAUUUUUUGUAAGUUCAAGGUUACAGCCAUGUGCAAUACAUAUUUGUUGGAAGACCCUCUCAUCACAGACCCGCUCAUUCUAUUUAGGGGAGUUCUUAAGCCACUUCAUUUAAUGGAUGCAGAUCAUCUUUUGAAAAAAAAAAAAAAGAGUAAUAUCUCGACGAGGGUGUCUGCGCUUUUCUCCCCGUAUUAAGUAUUCCACUGUAGUUGCUUUUUAUAUUUACUUUACCCUCUAAUGAUGUAGAUUGUUGGAGUACAUUUUAUUAUUGCCAACAGACUCGGGCCUGUCUACAGACUAUGUUGUUUAGUUCGACGGAAAACUUCCAAAGUAUUUUUUCUGACUAUGUUUGUAAUGAGAUAAUUUGGAAUGCAAGUGUUACGUAUGAAA